GUCUUUUUGAAUUUUAUAUAAAGUUUAUCCUGCCCAUUGAAAAAUUUUAAAAGGCUGCGGUAUUUUGACCGUACAAAGGUAGCAUAGUCAUUAGUUUUUUAAUUGAAAACUUGUAUGAAUGGUUGAAUGAAAAACUAACUUUUUUUUAAAAAAUAUUGAAUUUUACUUUUUAAUUAAAAGGUUAAAAUUAAUUUAAAAGACGAGAAGACCCUAUAGAGUUUUAUAAUUUUUAUUAUAUUUUUUAAAAGGUUUAUAUUAAAUUUUAUAGUUAAAAUUAUUUUGUUGGGGUGAUAAUAAAAUUUAACUAACUUUUAUUAAUUAAAUUACAUUAAUAUAUGAAUAUUUGAUCCAAUAUUAUUGAUUAAAAAAUUAAAUUACCUUAGGGAUAACAGCGUAAUUUUUUUUUAAGUUCUUAUUAAUAAAAAAUUUUGCGACCUCGAUGUUGGAUUAAGAGUUAAUUUUAGGUGCAGCAGUUUAAAAUUUAAGUCUGUUCAACUUUUAAAUUCUU
rnacentral:rRNA from 1 species